GUUCAUUCAUCUCUUUUGGUGAAUAAAUGGGACUGUUUCUGCUUAGGUUUAUGUGCUACUUUAGCAAAAAAUUAUCUAACUAGCAAACGAGGAUCCGGAAAAACUGAUAAACGUGUAGUAAUUUUGUAGAUUAUAUUCUUAGGUUUCUCAAUUAAUGGCAGCACCUAGAUUGAUGUCCUCGUGUUGAUAAUAUAUCUACACUCUUUGUUAGUUUAUCAUGAAUCAAAUGGUUUCAACCGCAACACAAGGAAGUAGCAUGAGUGUUUCUAGAUACAUCAACACUCCGAGUUUUCUCUUCUAAUUAUUCUCUUCAUUCGUGAUUACAGAUUUUCUUGCCGCCACUUAUCCUGAAUGUGGAUGGUGCCUUGAAGCUGGAAAAUGGGUGGCUUGGCUGCUGCUAUUGCUGCUUAGGCUCUCAUACGAUGGACUUAGACUGCUGACUGCCGGCACAUGGCGAAAGUUCAUGAUUGGGUGCAGUUGUGCUGGUAGACCCAAGUGUCGGCGGCAGCAUUGAUGGCGCCGUGCAUGAAGGUUCAGUAGGGCGCCUGGGUACAUGAUGGUAACUUCCUCCUCUACUAGAGCGCAUGCCGCCGCCUGGGAUAAGAACGAACCACUAGCGAGUAGUCAUGAGCACGGAGGGGCUAUAGCUGGGCGAAGGGAGCAACGUCACUGUCUUGAGGCUGUACUUGGUUGAGUGUGACCUGAAGAAUCAGGGCAAGUCUGGCAUUGUGGCGGCCAAGUGCUUACCUGCGCUUAAACGUUAUGAUGAGCUUACAGGAGCACCGCCAAGAUCUGCACUGCGGUGCUUAUGCUGCUAGUUGGGCAUUGUGGCAGCCAAGUACUCAUGGCUGCUUAGAUACUACAAUGAUCCUACACAAGAGGACCACCUAGGUCAAUGAAGCACCAUAGAACCCACCACCGGUCUCCUGCGCUAACGACGUUGUCGUUAAUGGGCGUUGGUCUCAGACAAUGCAUGUCCACGCCGCAUGGAGCUGCUGCCAGCGUCUUCCACCGGGGGAUCCGGCAUUGCUAUUGGGCUGGCUGUG